rnacentral:rRNA from 1 species
UGCAAGUCGAACGGCAGCGCGGGGCAACCUGGCGGCGAGUGGCGAACGGGCGAGUAAUAUAUCGGAACGUACCCUGGAGUGGGGGAUAACGUAGCGAAAGUUACGCUAAUACCGCAUACGAUCUAAGGAUGAAAGUGGGGGCUCGCAAGACCUCAUGCUCCUGGAGCGGCCGAUAUCUGAUUAGCUAGUUGGUAGGGUAAAAGCCUACCAAGGCAUCGAUCAGUAGCUGGUCUGAGAGGACGACCAGCCACACUGGAACUGAGACACGGUCCAGACUCCUACGGGAGGCAGCAGUGGGGAAUUUUGGACAAUGGGCGCAAGCCUGAUCCAGCAAUGCCGCGUGAGUGAAGAAGGCCUUCGGGUWGUAAAGCUCUUUUGUCAGGGAAGAAAAGGGUCUGGCUAAUAUCUAGGCCUCAUGACGGUACCUGAAGAAUAAGCACCGGCUAACUACGUGCCAGCAGCCGCGGUAAUACGUAGGGUGCAAGCGUUAAUCGGAAUUACUGGGCGUAAAGCGUGCGCAGGCGGUUUUGUAAGACUGUCGUGAAAUCCCCGGGCUCAACCUGGGAAUGGCGAUGGUGACUGCAAGGCUAGAGUUUGGCAGAGGGGGGUAGAAUUCCACGUGUAGCAGUGAAAUGCGUAGAUAUGUGGAGGAACACCGAUGGCGAAGGCAGCCCCCUGGGUCAAAACUGACGCUCAUGCACGAAAGCGUGGGGAGCAAACAGGAUUAGAUACCCUGGUAGUCCACGCCCUAAACGAUGUCUACUAGUUGUCGGGUCUUAAUUGACUUGGUAACGCAGCUAACGC